rnacentral:rRNA from 1 species
GCUCAACUGAGGAAUUGCUUUGGAAACUGGAUGACUUGAGUGCAGUAGAGGAAAGUGGAACUCCAUGUGUAGCGGUGAAAUGCGUAGAUAUAUGGAAGAACACCAGUGGCGAAGGCGGCUUUCUGGACUGUAACUGACGUUGAGGCUCGAAAGUGUGGGUAGCAAACAGGAUUAGAUACCCUGGUAGUCCACACCGUAAACGAUGAGUGCUAGGUGUUUGAGGGUUUCCGCCCUUAAGUGCCGCAGCUAACGCAUUAAGCACUCCGCCUGGGGAGUACGACCGCAAGGUCGAAACUCAAAGGAAUUGACGGGGACCCGCACAAGCGGUGGAGCAUGUGGUUUAAUUCGAAGCAACGCGAAGAACCUUACCAGGUCUUGACAUCCCUUGACAACUCCAGAGACGGAGCGUUCCCUUCGGGGACAAGGUGACAGGUGGUGCAUGGUUGUCGUCAGCUCGUGUCGUGAGAUGUUGGGUUAAGUCCCGCAACGAGCGCAACCCUUAUUACUAGUUGCCAGCAUUUAGUUGGGCACUCUAGUGAGACUGCCGGUGACAAACCGGAGGGAGGUGGGGAUGACGUCAAAUCAUCAUGCCCCUUAUGACCUGGGCUACACACGUGCUACAAUGGCGUAUACAACG